AUGAUUCGCGCCAGAGCCAGUUGGAGUCGAUUUUCAAACCGAUCAUUUUGCUCGAAAUUCCACAUUCCGACCGACAAGAACAGCAACAAUUGUAGGAUUAAUGGCGACAGCACGGUUGAAUCGGAUCUGAGAAGCUACAACGAGGCUUACAAGCAGCUGAAUAACUUGAACUUCAUGAUCUCUUCACUGAACCUCCAAAGGAAAAGAAAUUUGGUUAUUCAAUGGUUUACUUAACCAAAGCCACCAUAUCAGGACGUGGAGCUGAAAAAGAAGGAAUUCAUGAAAAGAUUCUGUAACUUCAGGAGGUUAAAACAAGACUUGAUAAACUCGAGGAGACUAUAAAGGAAAUUGCUAUUGAAUCCAGAAAACAAUCAGGGAGUGAUAGUAUAAAAAAGAACUCUGAAAAGGGUCAAGAAGUGGAUAAAACCAAACAUGGGGAAAAUACUAAUCCAAGCAACAUGGGGAAUGCGCCAGAGUUGAGCAAGUCUAUGAAUAUUCAUCUUAGUGGAGAGAAAAUAGUAGCGGCCCCUGUUUUCCCCAAAGGGCGUGCAAAUGAGUGCACAUAACGAAAAGAUGCUAAGCAUGAAAACCACGGUGGAGGAUCUUCUCUAGAUGCCAAGAGAUGAAGGAAAUGCCUCUAUUGCUGCAAUAUCCUACGCAUAGUACUUUUCCCCUUUGAUGAAGCUAGAGAAAAGCAAGAAUCCAAUGGUUCCAGUUGAGAUGCAAAAUCAAAGGCUAUGAUUCUUCAAUGUUGCAAAGAAUGGACACCCCAACUGAUGAAGUAACAAAGCAACAAAUGGCCAACACCCAAAGCUUGCUCGGUCAUUUUCAGGAAGGUUUGUAUGGUAUGAUAAACAAGUAAGAGAUUUAAUUGUCAUUAAGUGUGUUAAUACCCAGAUUUCUGUUACUUUUACAUCUUGCUUGAUAUUGAUACUAGGAGAGAAAUUAGUUCCUUUAUUAUGACUAAUGAUCAGAGUUUAGAUGAAUGAUUAAGGUGAACAUGAUUUGUUUUGGGAUAUGAACUGAACCCCACCACUGGUUUGGCCUUAUUAGGAGAUCCUGUAGGUCAGAAAUCAAGCCAAUGAAGAUUUACCCACAAUUUAAUAAUGUGUGAAAAAUGAUGAUUGUGAUGGAAUAGGUGAGGAGGGAGGGGGAGGGCCAUUAUGUGGCUUCCAUUGCUUUUUCACAAGGUGUGCUCUAUCUAUACCUACCUCUUUUUGAUGUUCUAAUGUGAUGGUCUAUUACUUUCAACUGCAAUUGGGUCAAGAAUGUUGUCAUCACACCCAUUCUAUCUAAUCUAUCUGCGUAUAUAUUCAUGUCUCAUUAAAUGAAAACUACAAGCAUCCAAAUUUGUGCUCAUUUCAUGGACCACACAGCACACCACUAUUUACUCUUUGAAUUUCAUAUUGAAAUCCUCUCUCUCCCUCACAAACAUGUUUGAUUGACAAGAAGCCUAAAUUAUAAUGUUAUGUUGGAUCUUGAAUUAUGACACCAACUCCUCGUUUGUGUGUGAAUUUUUUUUUAAUCUUAUUUUUAAGGUUGUAUUUGAUAGGUAUUUUGUUGUUUUGUUCUAUUGUACUAUGCAAUUAUUUGAUCUAUACAAUUAUUCUCAAAACUAGAUCGUAACGUGUAGGGAAGCUCAUCAAAUAGAAUAAACCAGUUUAGUUAUUCUUAAAACUAGGUUGUAACGUAAAGUACGUGUAAUUAUAUACCUAAGCCCAUGGCUAGCCGAUAUUGUCUUCUUUGGGCUUUCCCCUCAAGGUUUUAAAAUGCAUCUACUAG